rnacentral:rRNA from 1 species
ACUUAGUGGCAGACGGGUGAGUAACAUGUGGGUAUCUACCCUUUGGCCUGGAAUAACACGAGGAAACUUGUGCUAAUACCGGAUAAGUCUUUACGGAGAAAGCUUUAUGCACCAUUGGAUGAGCCCGCACUUGAUUAGUUUGUUGGUAGGGUAAUGGCCUACCAAGACUAUGAUCAAUAGCUGAUUUGAGAGGAUGAUCAGCCACAUUGGGACUGAGACACGGCCCAAACUCCUACGGGAGGCAGCAGUGGGGAAUCUUGCACAAUGGAGGAAACUCUGAUGCAGCGAUGCCGCGUGAGUGAAGAAGGCCUUUGGGUUGUAAAGCUCUUUCGUCGGGGAAGAAAAUGACUGUACCCGAAUAAGAAGGUCCGGCUAACUUCGUGCCAGCAGCCGCGGUAAUACGAAGGGACCUAGCGUAGUUCGGAAUUACUGGGCUUAAAGAGUUCGUAGGUGGUUGAAAAAGUUGGUGGUGAAAUCCCAGAGCUUAACUCUGGAACUGCCAUCAAAACUUUUCAGCUAGAGUACGAUAGAGGAAAGCAGAAUUUCUAGUGUAGAGGUGAAAUUCGUAGAUAUU